CCUACGGGGGGCUGCAGUCGAGAAUUAUUCACAAUGGGGGAAACCCUGAUGGUGCGACGCCGCGUGGGGGAAUGAAGGUCUUCGGAUUGUAAACCCCUGUCAUGUGGGAGCAAAUUAAAAAGAUAGUACCACAAGAGGAAGAGACGGCUAACUCUGUGCCAGCAGCCGCGGUAAUACAGAGGUCUCAAGCGUUGUUCGGAAUCACUGGGCGUAAAGCGUGCGUAGGCUGUUUCGUAAGUCGUGUGUGAAAGGCGCGGGCUCAACCCGCGGACGGCACAUGAUACUGCGAGACUAGAGUAAGGGAGGGGGAACCGGAAUUCUCGGUGGAGCAGUGAAAUGCGUAGAUAUCGAGAGGAACACUCGUGGCGAAGGCGGGUUCCUGGACAUUAACUGACGCUGAGGCACGAAGGCCAGGGGAGCGAAAGGGAUUAGAUACCCGUGUAGUC
rnacentral:rRNA from 1 species